GGGGUCUUGAAGAUGAGGAAGGUAUUUUUCCCUCUCUCAAUUACAAUCCAAAAGCUGGGGGCUUUCUUUCUAGGCUGCAGGGCUGCAUGUGAGACAAAAUCUGUUUUCUGAAUUUGCCUUUUUAUCAAAGAUUACCAGCAUUCUCAGUACUUUGCUUCAUUAAAAUCAACAAUUGGUGUGAAACUUGUCAUUUAGCAUGAACAAAGAAAUCUGGAUGGGCUGUGCAGGUGAUGGUCCACGGUGGCAUUACCCCCAAGAAAUGAAAAUGUGUCUUUCUCAGCCCCCGCUUACCUGAUCAAUACUAUAUUGCUCUUUGUGGAACCUGUGGCAUACAUAUUGAAUGUAUGUUUCAGGUGAUUUAUUGGCUGCAAAGUGCCUUGAUCUGACAGUGAAGACAUUACGUGAAUAACUCCAGGAACGGGAUGAAAAAAUAUAACUCCCAUAAUCGUACAGAAUGUGAUCACAGGAGCCAUUACUUCAAGAUGUACAAGACUGACAACAAGACUCCUAAGACCACUAGGAAUCAUGGUAGCCCACAGCCACUCUACAACAAAUACUCAUGAGGAUUAAAGACCCCAUUCCCACAACAUGCAGAACCAACGUGGUUUACAAAAUACCAUGCAACGACUGCCACAAACACUACAUCGGACAGACAGGAAGGAAACUAUCCAUCAGAAUACACAAACAUCAGCUAGCAGCAAAACAGAACAACGAACUCUCCUUAAUAUCGGUACACUCAGACAAUGAAGGAAAUCAGUUUAACUGGGACAAGGUAACCAUAGUAGCCCAAGUCAAACAUAGACACGGACAGGAAUUGCUAGAGGCAUGGUUCUCCACUCAUAAUGCAAUCAACAAACACAUAGAAUUGGACCCCUUAUACAAACCUGUACAGAAGGGACUGGGUGGGAUGCUCUUCAGAGGGGCACUGUGGAUCUGUUGGGCCAAAUGGCCUGUUUCCACAUUGUAGGGAUUUUGUCAUUCUAUGAAAACUGGAAAUGACAGUAUUCACCAUAACGGACCAGACAGUGUAAAUUCCAAGCGGAGUAGAAUAACAUCACUUCAUCGGAGGCCUCACUGAUGAUGGCACCUAGCGUGGUGACGAAACAUCUGCAUGAGAACAAGACAGCUCGGCGAGCAAGUCAACAACCUCACCCACAACCCGAGCUACAGAUCUUUGCUAACCCUUAGUCUUUUCUACCUGAUUGCCUUGUCCAAAGAGUUGCAGUGAAGUGUUUCUUAUAGCAUUCUUCUCCUUGUUGAGCAGUUAAGGAACUUUUGCAGAGAGUGCUGAGGGGAGGAAAACAUUGGCUUUAUAUAUGAAACAUCUUAAUGUGGCUUCAUCUUGUCAUGAAGCUGCAAAGGAGAGGAAGGUGAUCAUCACCAUCACUGAAUCCCCACUAUCAACAUUCAGGGUUACCAUUGAUCCAUUCAGGUUUGGCAGGAAGAAUAAAUGAGAUGAAUACGAUUUAAAUGGAGACAAACUGCAGAAAACUACAGAAGGGAGACCGUCAUGAGAGAAGGCAACUGAAUCAUUGGAUUUUAUUUCAAAGGGAAGAAUGAUACAAAGCACAAGGUUUUGCUAAAACCAUAUCAGACAUGAUCAAACCACAGAUGAAUUACUGUGGACAGUUUUGGUCACCCUGUCUUUUUCUUUAUUUUCAUUCCCAGGAUAUAGGAUUCACCUGCCAGGCCAGCAUUUAUUGCCCAUCCCCAGUUGUUCUAGCAGGCAGUUCAGAAGCUAGCAUAUUGCUGUUGGUCUGGAGUCACUUGUAGGUCACACCAGGCAAUUAAGGAACAGUGCAGGAAGGCAUGCCAAAUGUAGUACCAGCAUUCCUAAAAAUGAGGUGUCAACCUAGUGGAGCAGAAAACAGGACUGUCUGCAUGCUAAACAGAAUAAACAACAAGUGAUAGACAGAGCUAAGCAAUGCCACAACCAACGGAUCAGAUCUAGGCUCUGCAGUCCUGCCACAUCCAGUCAUGAAUGGUGGUGGAUGAUCAGAAAUUCACUGGAGGUGGAGGAUCUACAAAUAUCCCUAUCCUCAAUAAUGGAAGGGCAUGGCACAUCAGUGCAAAAGACAAGACUGAAGCAUCUGCAACAUUCUACAGUCAGAAGUGCUGAGUGGAUGAUCAAUUUCAGCCUCUUCCAGAGGUUCCAACCAUCACAGAUACCACUCUUCAGCCAAUUUGAUUCUUUCAAGGCAUUGAAUAAGAUAAAGGCUAUGGGCUGUGACAACAUUCUGGCAAUAGUACUGAAGACUUGUGCUCUAGAACUUGUCACAUCCCUCAGCAAACUGUUUCUGUAAAACUGCAACUCUGGCAUUUACCAGACAAUGUGGAAAAUUACCCAGGUAUGUCCUGUACAUAAGAAGUAGGACAACUCUAUCCCAGCCAGUUACCACUCCAUCAGCCUACUUUCAACCAUCAGUAAAGCGAUGGAAGGUGUCACCAACAGUGCUAUCAAGCAGCACCUGCUCAGCAAUAACCUGCUCAGUGAUGCCCAGUUUGGGUUCCGCUAGGGCCACUCAGCUGUUGACCUCAUUACAGCCUUGGUUCAAACAUGGACAAAAGAGCGGCAUUCCAGAGGUGAGGUGAGAAUGUCACAAAGGCUGCAUUUGACCAAAUUGUGGCAUUAAGGAGCACUAGCAAAACUGGAAUCAGUAGAAAUCAAGGUAAUAAGUCUCCAUUGAUUGGAGUCAUACAUAGCACAAAGGAAGAUGAUUUGGGCCAUUGGUAAUCAGCCAACUUAACUCCAGGACAUUUCUGCAGGAGUUCCUCAGGUUACUGCCCUAGGCCUAAUCAUUUUCAGCUGCUACAUCAAUGACAAAUGAUUGCACCAUUUACCAUUUAGGACCAUUCACAACUCCUCAGAUACUGAAACAGUCCAUGCCCAAAUGCAGCACGAUCUGAGUAAUAUUCAGGCUUGGGCUGAAAAUUGGCAAGUGACAUUUGUCCCACACAAAUGCCAGUCAAUGACCAUCUCCAACGAGAGAGAAUCUAACCAAUUCCCCUUGACAUUCAACGGUAUUACCCUUACUGAAUCAGCCACUACCCUGGGGGUCACUAUUGACCAGAAACUGAACUGGACUAGCCAUUUGAAUACAGAACCAAUAGGAGAAGGUCAGAGAUUAGGAAUCCUGUGAGUAACUCACCACCUGACUGCCCGACUGUUCACCAUCUAUAAGGCACAAGUCAGCAAUGUGAGGGAAUAAUCCCCACCUACCUGGAUAAGUACAGCCUCAACAAUACUUGAUAGUCUUGACAUCAUAAAGCAGUCCACUUGAUUGACACCACAUCCACAAACAUCCAUUCCCUCCACCACCAACAAUCAACAGCUGUGGGCACUGUCUAUAAGAUGCUUUGUAGAAAUUUUCCAAGGUUCCUUAGACAGCCCUUUCUGAUGCAUGGUUCCAUUAAACCUGUUGACAGCUGCGAAAGUUUUUCCAGAGUCAAACACUUCCAGAUGCUGCCUGCUAAUUGCUUUGAACUUGUGUCUUUCUUCCACCACAGCAUGAAUGGUAUAUUCUUCAGGUUAGCCCAGAAGAUUUUUCUGGAAGGAUACGAUGAGUGUACCGGCAAUCACCAGUUCGACAAGACUUUCAGCUAAGUUAGCUUCUGUGAAAUCAUAGUCCACAUAUUUGCAUCAACACCUGCCUAAGAAUCGAUCAAUUAUUUCACCUGAAUAAUGGUCAUAUGCCAUGAACCCAUGUCUGUGUUCCAUAAAUUGACUCCAAUGUUGUGUUGAUUGUUUAAAUUCUGAAGAAUUUUAUCAGGAUCAUUGCAAUCAUUGUCAGAAACGCCAGAGGAUUGUAUUCGUCUUGAAGCAAAGAUUGAUUCUUCCUUUAAAUAACUGAUGUUCUGACAGAAUGUCAAAUAUGUGCCAAUCCAUGCUCAGAUGUUUACUUUUGAUCUUUCUUUGUCCUCUUUAACUGUCAAAAUAAAAAUCUGUAUUGUAGUGGU